GAUCUGGUUUGAACUGUGAAGACAUAUUCAAAUCGGAUUCAAGAACUGAGAGAAUCUUUUAAUCAUCAUCUUACUAGAAAUAACUUGAAUACAACUGGAAGUAUAUAACAUAUUGCUAGGCUAAUGAAUGAAAAGACAAAAACAAAUAGGGUCAGGCAAGGUUUAACCUUAUCGGGCAAGGCUGAUCGUCUUGCAACUUCCUAUCUUUGUGGUUUAUCAAGGGGUUUGAGAGCUUUAGAAAAGAAGGUAGGGAGUUGAGUUUACAGAAAGAAAUCAAUACUACAGCAAGCUUAGGACAAGGUAGCAGAGCUAUUACAAAGGCUUUUGGUGAGAGUUUAUCCCAAAAGGAAUGAAGGCUUGGGCUGACUACAGCUUCGUUUGAAGGCAAAUCUGGCUUUGAGCAGAGUUUGUGCUUGUAUUUGUUUGUUUGAUUGAGUGUCUUUAUCUCUGAUUUCUUUUUCUUCUUUUAUAGACACUUCGAUUUGGCCUCCUGUAGCAAUAAUCUUGCCCGAAUGCAGCUUGAAGGGUAAUGACUCAUCAACUAUUUACUUGUACUGCCACUGUAAAGUACUUUUGGGCUGAUUAGCUGGCCGGUCUAUACCACUUGGUCUCUAGGCAGGUGAGCAAGUGGUGCAAAUGAUCUGCACCUAGAAAGGCCUUGUCUGCCUUCUGGGCUUGGGUUGGGCUUCAGGCUUUUCCCCUUUUCAGACCUCCAUUUGGGCCAACUCCUGCUUGAGCCCAAAGUUCAAGUUUUAAUCCAAACACAACUGCUUUACCAGAAAAAGAAAAAAAAUAUGAAUCCGAAAAAAAAUUUGGAUUGCACAACUGAUUCAACCAGGUUCUAGAAUGAAAAACUUUUUAUUGUAAUUAUUAAUUUUCCAUUCGUAAAAAUUCUAGCAUAGACACAUGUAUCUAUUGUACUAUAUAAAUGUUUUUUUUUGGUCGAAAGUACCAUAUAAAUGUUUUGUACCUAGUAAUUUGUGAAUGAAGAAAACACGAUUCACCCAAAUCCUUUUACAUGGUACUAGAGAAACUUUCCGGGUGACCUACACAAAACCUAAGAGGAGUUCCACCGUUGCUAAGGCUCCCUAGGGCUAUUCACUAUUUAAUCCACCCAGUAAACAAUAACUUCUCUUAAUGAACAGUAACUGCCUUUUGCAUCUUCACCCCUACACUGAAUAGCCCUGGCAAUAGGCAAUAAAAUAUUAGUAUUUUAUUUAU
rnacentral:lncRNA from 1 species